rnacentral:misc_RNA from 1 species
GAUGAAGAACGUAGCGAAAUGCGAUAAGUAAUGUGAAUUGCAGAAUUCAGUGAAUCAUCGAGUCUUUGAACGCACAUUGCGCCCCCUGGUAUUCCGGGGGGCAUGCCUGUCCGAGCGUCAUUGCUGCCCUCAAGCACGGCGUGUGUGUUGGGCCGUCGUCCCCCUCCUAGGGGACGGGCCCGAAAGGCAGCGGCGGCACCGCGUCCGGUCCUCGAGCGUAUGGGGCUUCGUCACCCGCUCCGUAGGCCCGGCCGGCGCUUGCCGACGACCAUCAAUCUCUUUCUCCAGGUUGACCUCGGAUCAGGUAGGGAUACCCGCUGAACUUAAGCAUAUCAAUAAGCGGAGGA